rnacentral:lncRNA from 1 species
AUGUAUUUAUUAAUGUUAUGUGUGACUGGGACUUAACAACAGCUUCCAUUUUUGCUCGGAGUUUUUUACUUGAUCAGAAGCACAGAAUUGUCAAAAAAAAAUUCAAGCACUGUUUUUCACACAUCUCUUGAAAACAUGAAUAGGCAGGAAGGAAGGGAGAUCAAUACAUUUUAUUUUUCUUUCCCAUCCUCUAUGAAAGUGGUAAAGAGAAACAUCACUCAUCCCUGCUAGUGAAAAUUGGACUCUAAGUAUCCAAUGUUUUGCCAAAGCCAAAAAAUAACUUUGAAAGUAAAUUAUAUUCCUUGCUUUACAGCUGAGUGACCUACUGAGGAUUUGUAAUUAAAUAUGGCACCAUUUUUAAAUACGGAGUAGACUUCUGAGUUGAGAUACUAUGUUCUGGUAUUCUUGUCUAAAAUAGCUUCCACAAGAACCUAAAUUUUAUUGAAAAAUACUUAACGACAUCUUUUUCACAAAUGAGUUUAUUCAGACUGAAUGCAAACGCCUUGAAGGAAUACUUUGCGUUUAGUGUAUGGAAAGGCAUAUACCUGAGAUCACUGAGCAAAACGCAAAGAGCCCUAAUAGAAAUGUUUGUAUCUGCCUAGACCGCAGGGCCUCCAACUUGUUGCCCAGAGAAGAAUUAGUCCCAUAAGCACCCUUAUUAGGGAAGAGAAACCAGCCAGAGGCUGAACAAUAGACACUGUGUGAGUAGUGAGUUGGUCACAGGAAAUAAAACAUGUAUCUAUGUCUAUACUAGCUUUGAAAUAUAGUGAUCAAUAACAGCAGUCCAGGUGGUGGGGCAACCAUGAAUAACACAGAUUCAUCAAAACUCAGUGUGCUGUAUUUACUUCCCAUGCUGGGGAAACAAAUAUUUUAAAAGAGAGGGAGAGAGAAAGAAAGAGAGAGAGAGAAGGAAGGAGAGGAGGGGAGGGGAGGAGGAAAGAAAUGAAGAACAAACAUACUUUUGAGCAUUUCAUUGCCAAAUAAAUGCUCAAAAGUAUGUUUAUUUCAAAUGUUAUUAAUCACCGUAGAUUUUCCAGUGAAACUUCUUAAAUUAGUUCUCUGGUGCUGCUGUAAGAAAUCACCACAAUCUUCGUGACCGAAAACAAUACAAAUUGAUUAUCUUACAAUUCUGUAGGCGAGAAGCCAUACAUGAGUCUCUUUGCCCUAAAAUCAAAGUGUCAGAAUGCCUGUGAAACUUACGGAGGAUUCAAGGGAGAAUGAUUUUUUUGUGUAUUUUUCAGCUUCUACAAAUUGCCUUUUGAGGCUUGUGGUCCUGUCCACCUUCAAAGCCAGACACAGGCACUCAAAUCCUUCUUAUAUUUCCUCACUCUGACCCAACUCUGCACCCUCUCCCAUCCACAUUAUUUUAAUUUUCUUUCAAAGAGUUACUUGACCAUGGUCAUUAUGCUAAGUUCACCCAGAUAAUUCAGGAUAAUCUUCCUCUUUUAGUAUCAGCUGAUUAGCAGGUGUUAGAAAUAUCAAAAUUGUUAGAAAUAAGUAAUUGGUGCCACGAAGAAAAGUCAGUACGGAGACGAAAGACCUCUCAGCAAGGCCAUCUUUACUUUCUACAGAAAGGGUGCUCAUUCGCAGAUGGAACCAUGGCGAGAACACACCUGAACAAAGGAAAAGCAGACAUAUUUAUCCCUUACGCAUUUGGGUCGUCCUUACUGCUGUGUCCUGCAUCCAUUGGCUGGAGCGGGACCUCACAGUCUGAAACUGAUACCCGAUUUGCUAAUAGCCUAAAACUUUCCUACAUAGGUAAGUGCAAGAAAGAACAAAGGAGAGGAAGUUGCUUACGAAAGGUUUAAGGAAGCAAUAACAUUUCGAAAUAAGGAAGGGGCACAGGAUGUGAGCUGGGAUGUGCCUGUGAGCAUGUCCGACAAUUACAUAGGAUAGGGCUUAAAAAAGAGUUAUUAGCACAAAGCAAGGAGGCUUGAAGAAAGUUAGUCUUUAAAAUAAACUAUUAUUUCUAACAAUUAUGAUUUAUUCUUUAACAGGGGGGAACAUUGAAGAGGAAACUUUUUACUUUCUACAGCAGGCUUAAUUCCAUUUCCCUUAAUUUCCCCCUUGACAUGUAACACAAUAUAUUAGUAUAUUCUGGGGAUUAAAACUUAGAGUACAUUAUUCUGCUAACAUACUUCCCUAAUGCAUUUCCAUUGCAAUACCCACAACUUGUCACCUUUUCCGCUGAGCAUUUGAUCUUAGCCCAAAUACUACCUGGAUUUAAACAAUGCCUCUUCUCACUUGGAAGAGAACGCUAGAGUGAACGUGGAGCAGAUGUCAUUGUCGUAGUGAAAUGCAGUGAAGGCUUUUCUACGACUACUUUAAAAUAAAUUUUUGUUUGUGACCUUCAGCAGCAAAACAAUCCCCUGACCUUUAUGACUAGUCAUGGAAUUGUCACCAUUGGAAAUUAAUGUUCUUACAGUUCUGCUGCUCAAGAAAUAAUUGCUUUUAAAUUGCUCCAGGGAAAUGUCUUUCUUUUGUGAAUGCC